AAUGGAUGGAUUUCAUUUUUGAAGGCAAUGUCCCGGAAAGAAUUGGCAAAAUUCUGUUUGUGUGCGCAAACCAUUUUGAAUUGGACUGUUUUGCCAACCUGGGUGAAUAUAACGCUGGACUCGCAACAAGAUUGACCUUGCAAGCGGGUUCAGUACCAUCUAUCCGUCGCAUUUCAGACGAGGGAAAUGGACACCAGCCUUCAGCAGAUUAGAGAAGGUGUUGACCAACAAGAGGGUUCUGAAAGAUGUGGGGAAGCUGAGCCCUCACUACCAGACCUCGUCGUUGGAGUCUUUCCACAGCGUCAUUCUGCGUUUUGCGCCCAAAAACGUAGUCUUUCCUUUUCUUGGAAUGUUAUGCAGACUCUACCUGGCAGUCCUGCAUUUCAAUGAAAAUGCUGGGCGUCCCCAAGCAACAAGUUCAGCUGGUGAGCCGCUAUUUAAAGUGAACUUCCCAAAAUACAAGAAGGGCGAGUGCACUGCAAAGCCGGUGAAAGCAGAGCCAACCUUCCGUGAGUCACAGGCUUUAUUUGAAAUUCCACCAAGUCAAACAAUGUACAAACAGUAUGUGAAACUUAAAUAACAUAUACAUUAACUGCUGUCUUUAAAUGGUCUUCAUAAUAAAUAGAAUAAUAUAAUUGCAAAA